CCUCCAAAAAUGCGGCCAGCCUAAAAGUGGGGUUACUUUAGUCUAGACGUCAGAUAAAUUUACAAACAUUGCUUGUUUGUAAACACCACAGGUAAACACUAGAUAACUGAAUUGUUUGAAAACAGUGUGUUUGUUAUCCCCAAUAGGGAAUGCUCCCUUGAUUAAACCUAGAUAUUCAAGCAAAAUUGCUCCUAAGUGGCGGAAAUGGAGUCCCAAAGGUUGUUGCCCCUCAAAGACGUCAAAACUGAGGAUCCUUUUCCCGAGGAUUGGUCAGAUAGCGAUAGCUCGUACUCAGAUUCUGAGUCGGACAGCAGCGUGAUACCCGAUUGGGAACCGUUUGUUGAUGAUUUUUCGGGUGAGCUGCUUUACAUCGAUUGCCAUCCCUUUGUCACGAACAACCGCUUCAAAAGCAAGGUUGAGGAAGAGCCGGAUCCUUUCGCCAAGUCGCAACUCAGAAGAAGCACCAGAGGCAAGUUUCUGCGGCUUCUCAGACGGCGCGAAAGCAAGCGAGUGAAAAAAAGCCAAAAGCCGUUGGAAGAUGGCCUGGAAAUCAACACCCAAAAGGUGAAGUUCCAAGACUUUCAAGAGGGCGAAGAAAAGGAGGUGACUUUGGAAAUAGACCGAGCCAACAGGUACAAUCUCUCGAGCUACACGUCAUUGGCUGAAAGCCUUCUCGGGCUGAUUAUCAGCACUUUAUCUGAUGGAAACCGCGUCAUGAUUGCCGGCUUUUCCUACGACAGCAAGGCGAAGAACGAGCGCAACAUCAAAAUAGGCGACUGGCUGAAGUCAAUCAACAGCAUCGAGGUGAACGUGCACAAUUUGGACGACAGUUUGCAAAAGUUCAUCAAUCACGAUGAGGUGGUGCUUACCUUGCAAAGAGUGGCAGCAACUGAGGUAACGAAAGAUCCGCCAAUCAACACGCUGAACAUGGAGUCGGCCUUUGUUAGGGACUUGCUGAACGCCAAACUGGAAGACAAUCAGGCGCUGCUUCCGAAGAUGUGCCGUUUCCCUGUUGGACUGGUCUAUAUCAAUAUAGAUAAGCUGGAUGAGAGCAACAAGGCAAAUGAGGACAUCAUCUACUGCUUCCCCAAGCCGGCUCAGAAGAACCUUCUGAGUUGCGCCCGAGGGAUGUUUAUCACCCUGAGCCACCUAGUGGAAGACAUUACAAGCACUCCGUCUAGGCUCAGCUGCAUCAUGCACAAGGAUAAGCUGCUGCAUGUGGUCUACACGAGGCGCAGCUCCAGAUUGCUGCUGUUUAUGCUGCCAGACGAGCGCGCCAGCUCAAAAGAAGUGGUGCUGAUGAACGCUGAGCUGCUGAGUUUUUUGGAGUUUACUUUUGGGGAUGUCGACCGCGGCCUUUCCGAGCAGCAGGAUCAGGUUGAUUUGGUCCUGUUCAGGUACUUUGCUAAAUUGAUCUGUAAUGACGACUGGACAACCAUCGAACAGUUCCUGGAGUACCAGCCCAAUCUCUCACCCAAUCCGAACAGCUGCAGCUUCGAGGGCAUUAUGCCGGUGGUGCCCACUUUGAAGCUGCACGACGAGGCGAUCACGCAACUGGACGAAGCUUUGACUGAGCUGGAAGCGAGCGACUACCGAGAAUGGAACGAAGACCCGCUGGAUUGCCAGCGACUGUUCACUAUACUAGGAAGCGCGCUGUUUCACUCCGGCUAUCUGCUUCACUCGCAUUUGAUGCAGGAUGACCUGGUAGACGUUUUCACGUUCUGCAAGCUCCAAGGCCUGGUCCAUUUGGCUAAAACGGAACCGGUUAAGUCGCUGGUGUUAUGGAAGGAGGUGUACCCCAAGUCCUGCAAGGUGCAGGGUCUGGAUGAUGUCCAUAUUCCAGAGGGGCGCCGGUAUCUGCUAGUUGUGGGGGCUGGAAAGGAUGUUUUGACCGUGAUAAUGGAAGCAGGGGGCGCAACGGAGCCUUCAGAAGAAAACAUGGGGCCUGACGCCUUCUACGUAGAGGAGGCGCAAGCCACACUAGCGCACGUUCAGGCGCUGGGGCUCGGGGUGGUGGCGGAGCGCUUUCUGGCCGCCAACGGCGGCUUCCAGCUUGCCGCCCCUCUUCCGCCAGUCAACAAGAAAAAAAGCGACUUUAUCGGCUCUUUGGGGUUCUCCAAGAGCAGCCCCACGCAGUCUCAGCUAAAAGAUCCUUCGGUGCCUGCCGCCAAGAAAAGCGAGGUGAUUUCCAUUCUGAAGCGCCGCAGCUCCGAUCAGAACGUCUUGGCGGCGCCGCACGAGGACGCUUUUGAUGCCUACUCUGAGGCGUCCAGCCAGAGCUUCAGCGACGAGUCGCUGAGCAGAAACCGCAACCUCAAAUACGAUUCUGAAGAGGAUUCCGACUUUGAUGACUAUGGGGAUGGCAGUCAGAUCAGUAGCAGCAGCUGCGAUUUGUCGGAGAUUCGGCAGUCAUUGCUGUCCGAUCAGGGCGGGUUUUUGCCGGUGCAACUCACCUGCGGCAGGCACAACGUGCUGUUUCACUUCGUUCAACUGGACAGCACUGAAGAACAUCCACGAUCUCUUCCAGAGCACUUUGCGCUUCAAGAGCCUGCCCGCUCAGGAUAUCGCCAAGUCCUUGAUGAACAAAAGCCUGAUUGCCAUCAAGGAGUACGGGAUGUUGUUUGAGUGUCCGACCAGUGCAGAGCCGAAACGGUCGAAAAUCGCCUACUGGGUUAUAGGGCGGCUGUUCUAUACGCCUCAUCCCCAGGAGCUUUACGUAUGCUAUCAGGACUCGGUACCGCAGAAU
rnacentral:misc_RNA from 1 species